rnacentral:rRNA from 1 species
AAGAUCCGUGCUCAGAACGAACGCUAGCGGCAUGCUUAAACACAUGCAAGUCGAACGAACCCUUUCAGGGUUAGUUGCGCACAGUUGCGUAACGUGUCGGUAUCNGCCGGUUGCUACGGAAUNACUCAGAGAAAUUAGUGCUAAUACUGUAUGAUGUCGAAAGACCAAAGAUUUAUCGGCAAUGGAUGAGCCCGCGUAGGAUUAGCUUGUUGGUGAGGUAAAAGCUCACCAAGGCGACGAUCCUUAGCUGGUCUGAGAGGAUGAUCAGCCACACUGGGACUGAGACACGGCCCAGACUCGUACGGGAGGCAGCAGUGGGGAAUAUUGGACAAUGGGCGAAAGCCUGAUCCAGCAAUGCCGCGUGAGUGAUGAAGGCAUUAGGGUUGUAAAGCUCUUUUACCCGGGAUGAUAAUGACAGUACCGGGAGAAUAAGCUCCGGCUAACUCCGUGCCAGCAGCCGCGGUAAUACGGAGGGAGCUAGUCGUUGUUCGGAAUUACUGGGCGUAAAGAGUACGUAGGCGGUGAUUCAAGUCAGAGGUGAAAGCCUGGAGCUCAACUCCAGAACUGCCUUUGAAUACUAGAUCGCUAGAAUCAUGGAGAGGUGAGUGGAAUUCCGAGUGUAGAGGUGAAAUUCGUAGAUAUUCGGAAGAACACCAGUGGCGAAGGCGACUCACUGGACAUGUAUUGACGCUGAGGUACGAAAGCGUGGGGAGCAAACAGGAUUAGAUACCGCUGGUAGUC